GUGGGGAAUUUUGGACAAUGGGGGCAACCCUGAUCCAGCCAUGCCGCGUGCGGGAAGAAGGCCUUCGGGUUGUAAACCGCUUUUGUCAGGGAAGAAAUCCUUUGGGUUAAUACCUCGGAGGGAUGACGGUACCUGAAGAAUAAGCACCGGCUAACUACGUGCCAGCAGCCGCGGUAAUACGUAGGGUGCGAGCGUUAAUCGGAAUUACUGGGCGUAAAGCGUGCGCAGGCGGUUUUGUAAGAUCGAUGUGAAAUCCCCGGGCUCAACCUGGGAACUGCAUUGGUGACUGCAAGGCUGGAGUGCGGCAGAGGGGGAUGGAAUUCCGCGUGUAGCAGUGAAAUGCGUAGAUAUGCGGAGGAACACCGAUGGCGAAGGCAAUCCCCUGGGCCUGCACUGACGCUCAUGCACGAAAGCGUGGGGAGCAAACAGGAUUAGAUACCCCGGUAGUCC
rnacentral:rRNA from 1 species